rnacentral:rRNA from 1 species
AGUGAACGCUGGCGGUAGGCCUAACACAUGCAAGUCGAACGGCAGCACAGUAAGAGCUUGCUCUUACGGGUGGCGAGUGGCGGACGGGUGAGGAAUACAUCGGAAUCUACUUUUUAGUGGGGGAUAACGUAGGGAAACUUACGCUAAUACCGCAUACGACCUACGGGUGAAAGCAGGGGAUCUUCGGACCUUGCGCGAUUGAAUGAGCCGAUGUCGGAUUAGCUAGUUGGCGGGGUAAAGGCCCACCAAGGCGACGAUCCGUAGCUGGUCUGAGAGGAUGAUCAGCCACACUGGAACUGAGACACGGUCCAGACUCCUACGGGAGGCAGCAGUGGGGAAUAUUGGACAAUGGGCGCAAGCCUGAUCCAGCCAUACCGCGUGGGUGAAGAAGGCCUUCGGGUUGUAAAGCCCUUUUAUUGGGAAAGAAAAGCAGCAGGUUAAUACCCCGCUGUUCUGACGGUACCCAAAGAAUAAGCACCGGCUAACUUCGUG